rnacentral:rRNA from 1 species
CACGUAGGGGGCGAGCGUUGUCCGGAUUUAUUGGGCGUAAAGAGCUCGUAGGCGGCUCGGUAAGUCAGGUGUGAAAACUCUAGGCUCAACCUAGAGACGCCACCUGAUACUGCUGUGGCUAGAGUCCGGUAGGGGAGCAUGGAAUUCCUGGUGUAGCGGUGAAAUGCGCAGAUAUCAGGAGGAACACCAGUGGCGAAGGCGGUGCUCUGGGCCGGAACUGACGCUGAGGCACGAAAGCGUGGGGAGCAAACAGG